rnacentral:tRNA from 1 species
UCUCUGGUGGCUCAACAGUAAAGAAUCUGCCUGCAAUGCAGGAGAUGCAGGUUCGAUUCCUGGGUGGGGAA